UCGCGAGCGGGGGUCUAGUCUUGAAAAA
rnacentral:sRNA from 1 species